rnacentral:rRNA from 1 species
AUUGAACGCUGGCGGAAUGCUUUACACAUGCAAGUCGAACGGCAGCACGGGAGCUUGCUCCUGGUGGCGAGUAGCGGACGGGUGAGUAAUAUAUCGGAACAUACCCAGUCGUGGGGGAUAACGUAGCGAAAGUUACGCUAAUACCGCAUACGUCCUGAGGGAGAAAGCGGGGGAUCUUCGGACCUCGCGGGAUUGGAGUGGCCGAUGUCAGAUUAGCUAGUUGGUAGGGUAAAGGCCUACCAAGGCGACGAUCUGUAGCGGGUCUGAGAGGAUGAUCCGCCACACUGGGACUGAGACACGGCCCAGACUCCUACGGGAGGCAGCAGUGGGGAAUUUUGGACAAUGGGGGCAACCCUGAUCCAGCCAUGCCGCGUGCGGGAAGAAGGCCUUCGGGUUGUAAACCGCUUUCGGACGGAAAGAAAUCGUUCUGGCUAAUACCCAGGAUGGAUGACGGUACCGUAAGAAGAAGCACCGGCUAACUACGUGCCAGCCGCCGCAGUAACAC